UACGGGGGGGGCAAGCGUUGUUCGGAAUUACUGGGCGUAAAGGGCUCGUAGGUGGCCAACUAAGUCAGACGUGAAAUCCCUCGGCUUAACCGGGGAACUGCGUCUGAUACUGGAUGGCUCGAGUUUGGGAGAGGGAUGCGGAAUUCCAGGUGAUAGCGGUGAAAUGCGUAGAUAGUCUGGAGGAACACCGGUGGCGAAGGCGGCAUCCUGGACCAACACUGACGGCUGAGGGAGCGAAAAGCCAGGGGGAGCAAACUGGG
rnacentral:rRNA from 1 species